GGGUAAAAUGUGGUCCUUGACGCUCGUCGUUAUCCAUCGCUCCCAUCCAAUCCCUAAUUCACAUACAGUCGUAAGUACAUAGAUUCAGAGGGAGAAACCUGUGAUCUACGCACACGCAAAUUCCCAUUUUCAGAGCGAAGAACCAGCGAUUUAAUGCGAAUGCAGGUGACUUCAGCUGCUGGUUCUAAUAGGAACGGUAACAGUUUGAAGGUGAUGAUAUAGUUGUAUACUUUGGGUGACAACGUAUAUUUUUUAUAUGGCAGAUGGUAUAUCAAGCUUUUGGGGUCCGGUCACUUCCUCCCAUGAGUGGUGUGAAAAGAAUUAUGUGUAUUCUUCUUACGUUGCUGAGUUUUACAAUACCAUCUCAAAUGUUCCGUGCAUUCUUUUGGCUCUAGUUGGCCUUCUAAGUUCGUUGCUACAACGUUUUGAGAAGAGAUUUAGUGUUCUUCACUUAUCAAAUAUGGCACUUGCUAUCGGAAGCAUCAUGUAUCAUGCCACAUUGCAACAUGUGCAGCAGCAAAGUGAUGAAACUCCAAUGGUAUGGGAAAUGCUCCUGUACAUAUAUAUCCUCUACUCACCAGAUUGGCACUACCGAAGUACCAUGCCCACAUUUCUCUUCCUGUAUGGUGUCUCUUUUGCUGUUCUCCAUUCGGUGAUUCGGUUUGAUAUUGGUUUCAAGGUUCAUUACGUGAUUCUGUGCCUCUUGUGCAUUCCUCGGAUGUACAAGUAUUACAUACAAACACAAGAUAUGUCUGCCAAGAGGCUUGCAAAAUUGUACUUUGCAACCCUCUUCCUUGGUAGUUUGUGUUGGUUAGGUGAUCGGUUUUGUUGCAGCCAGAUAUCUGGUUGGCCAAUUAACCCACAGGGUCAUGCCUUGUGGCAUGUCUUCAUGGGCUUCAACUCUUACUUUGCAAACACGUUCUUGAUGUUUUGCCGUGCACAACAACGAGAGUGGAGCCCACAAGUGGUUUAUUUUAUGGGAAUUCUCCCCUAUGUGAGGAUUGAGAAACCAAAAAUACGGUAAAAGGAGCAUGGAAAACAGGAAAAGAAAUGAUUUUUUAUCAGUGAUGGAGGUAGAUACAAGAUUUUGGGAGCCACAAAGGUAGCAGCAGGAGGUUCCAGCACUAUGGCAAUGUAUACCACCAGUGCUGGUUGUAAGUUGUUUCUAUAUCUCAAAGAAUCCCCUUUUUUGUGUUUGGUUUGGGGUUAUGACUAUAGAGCUCAGACUAGGAUUUUGAAUAGGUUUGGUUUGAUUUAUAUAUAAACCUGUUAUGGAAGGAUUGAUUGAUGGAGAAAAUAUUGAAUGAUAUGUUUUUGUCAACACACAGCAA